UACGAAGGGGGCUAGCGUUGCUCGGAAUUACUGGGCGUAAAGCGCACGUAGGCGGACUCUUAAGUCGGUGGUGAAAUCCUGGAGCUCAACUCCAGAACUGCCUUCGAUACUGAGAGUCUCGAGUCCGAGAGAGGUGAGUGGAACUGCGAGUGUAGAGGUGAAAUUCGUAGAUAUUCGCAAGGACACCAGUGGCGAAGGCGGCUCACUGGCUCGGUACUGACGCUGAGGUGCGAAAGCGUGGGGAGCAAACAGG
rnacentral:rRNA from 1 species